rnacentral:rRNA from 1 species
UUACAACCCGAAGGCCUUCUUCCUUCACGCGGCAUGGCUGGAUCAGGGUUGCCCCCAUUGUCCAAAAUUCCCCA